CAGCCGCCGCGGUAAUACGGAGGAUGCGAGCGUUAUCCGGAUUUACUGGGUUUAAAGGGUGCGCAGGCGGUUGUUUAAGUCAGGGGUGAAAGCCCUAUGCUCAACAUAGGGAUUGCCUUUGAUACUGAACGGCUAGAGUGAAGAUGGAGUGGGUGGAAUGUGUUGUGUAGCGGUGAAAUGCAUAGAUAUAACACAGAACACCGAUCGCGAAGGCAGCUCACUAAUUUUCAACUGACGCUCAUGCACGAAAGCGUGGGGAUCAAACAGGAUUAGAUACCCUGGUAGUCCACGCUGUAAACGAUGAUCACUAGCUGUUGGUACGCAGAAGUAUCAGUGGCUAAGCGAAAGUGAUAAGUGAUCCACCUGGGGAGUACGACCGCAAGGUUGAAGCUUAAAGGAAUUGGCGGG
rnacentral:rRNA from 1 species